rnacentral:tRNA from 1 species
GCGCCCGUAGCUCAGCUGGAUAGAGUACCAGAUUCCGAAUCUGGGGGUCGCAGGUUCGAGUCCUGCCGGGCGCACCA